GACCAGGGCGGGCCGGGACCAGGGCGGGCCGGGACAAAGCCUGGGCCGGGCCUGCGCUUCCAUUCGCUUGACUGGCUGCGCUUGUUUUCAGGGUUUUGGUCUGAAAACGGAUCUUACCUGCGCAGAGCAAAAUCGGUUGUAGAUUAUAUCCACGAAAAUUCCUUCUAUUAAAAUGAAUUUCAAGUCCCACCUACCCUGGAAGCAGAAAGAGAGAGAAGAGAGAGAGUAAAGAGAAAGAGAAAAGAAAGAGAAGUUGAAAAAGAGAAAGAAAACCAAGAAAGAAAGAGAAAAAAACCGAAAAUAAAUGGACAAGAAAGAAAAAGGGUGAAGGUCAACCCUGUGCUCAAUUCCAGAGACUUUCCCAGGGACAUCGUGUUGGGCAUGGAGGACUAAGAGAUGUAGUCUGGUUUUGUUGCCCAGGCUGGUCUCCAGCUUCUAGCCUCAAGCAGUCUUCCCAUCUGCUCCUACCAAAGUGCUCGGAUUAUAGGCAUGAGUCACCUUGCAUGGGAGAUAAGGACCCCACAUCAAGCCCUCAGGUCACUGGGAUCCCGGACUAUGGCACUGCUCCAGGCAGGCCUGGUUAUCCUGCUUGAGGCAGCAAUCCUCUUGAGCCUAGUGAAAUGCAACUGGCUGUACCUCAGUGAUGUUGCCCUGAGAUUCCGCCAGUCGAGAUAUUACUUCAAUCUCCUGAGACCAGCCUCUACCUCCAGAUCCAGGGAGGCCAACGUGCCAUGCAUCCCUGGAGCAUGAAACCCAGGAUGGGCCGCCUUCCAGCCUCCCGCAGCUGUGAUGCAAGUUGAACACAUACAGAGAGACUGCAUCUGCACUGGGUGGUUUUCCUGAGCCUUGGGGAGCAGAAUGCAUGAAUCCCAGGCGUCUGCCGAUCUGUAUGUAACAAAUUCACUUCAUGUAACUUACUGUGUGUCCGUGAGAUUAUCUCUCAC
rnacentral:lncRNA from 1 species